UAACAUUUGGAUCUUUGGUUCCCCCUGAAAUGAAAGCAUACUGGGUGGCCCUUGUUGAUGAACUCAUUCUUGCUUUAUAUGGUAAAAUAUAAUUUAAUUCUCUCUAAAAGUCAUUGAAAUAUGUUUUCAUUAAAAUAUUUUCAUAAAAUUGCAUUUUUUUAGCAAAUCUUCUGGAGAUGAUUAGAGAACCUUGACGUGGUUUUAAAAUUAUAUAUGUAUGGUGAUACUCAUUUUGGAAGUUUAGUCCGGUAACUUCACCUUGUAGUUUGUAUACUUUCUUCUGUCCAGGAAAAGGGUUGUCUUUAACUUUGGGUGGGGUGGUUGUGUAUGAGUUUACAUUUGUUUUUUUGCUGCAGAUUUGUGGUUAUCUUGAACAAAAUGUUCUUGCUUUGCUUGCUGGAGUUGUCUCUGGGUUAUUCUGUUUGGUAUCUUGCAGCGUAUGGGCUACUUGGCGCCAGCUCUUGGCCUCUCUGCUGCUUUGAAGCUUUAGAGUAUAUUGAUUCAAUUUUAGUUGCUUGAUAUCUCGAGGAUGUUACUGGUGUCGUACUCUUGGUACCGAGUCUCUCAAUGGCUAUUAAAGCUAAAGAUCCGUCUACUUCCUUUUCUUUGUUGAUCUUGCUCUCCUCCAAGGUGUUGUAUUGUGUUUUUGUCAUCGUUGCCUAGGCUUUGCCUUCUUUAAGGAAUACUUUUAUUGGGGGUUCUGUUGUGUAUAUGCUGUUGGGUAUAUGCGUUUGCGAUUUAUUAAGAUUCUCGCGUGCUUCUUCGGUUUUACUUGCUUCCUAGGAAUGACUCAGGUUUGGCGGAUAGGAAUGACAGCACAACUUCAUCUUGCAAUCGAAUCUUUGCUUAUUCAGGUAAAAUCUAGAAAUCUGAAGAGUUUGUGGUUGCGCCUCUAGCCUACUGUUUUUUAUGGCUUGGGGCAACUUAUUAUUAUUAGGCUUUAGUUGUGCUAGCUUGGACUUGAGUAUGGUUUGUUGCUUUCGGUUUCGCUAGUUGAUUGUUAGGAUUGGGCUCUUGUUUAUGUAUCUCUUGGAUACUAGCUGGAUCCUUUUUAUUAUUUGUUCUGGCCCAGCCAUUUAAAGUUAAUAUUUUCG
rnacentral:misc_RNA from 1 species